rnacentral:lncRNA from 1 species
GGGAUUGGCGGUGGCUUGUGUACCGGAACCGGGGGUGGGUGCUCUAUCUUUGGUGGCGGCUUGUAAACCGGAACCGGAGGUGGGUGCUCUACCUUUGGCGGCGGCUUGUAAACCGGAACCGGUGGUGGAUGCUCUAUCUUUGGCGGUUUAGGCGGACAAGGCUUCUUAGGAAUCGGCGGUGGGAGCUCCACCUUUGGAGGUGGUUUGUGAACCGGGACAGGAGGGGGAAGCUCUACCUUUGGAGGUGGCUCGUGAACCGGGACAGGUGGGGGAAGCUCUACCUUAGGCGGUGGCUCGUGAACCGGGACAGGUGGCGGAAGAUCAACCUUUGGGGGUGGGUCGUAAACCGGGACCGGAGGUGGGCAAGGUUUCUUGAAUUUGGGGAACGGUGGAAGCACCAAAGGUGGAGGUAAAGGGAAAG